UACAGAGGUCCCAAGCGUUACUGAGAAUCACUGGGUUUAAAGGGUGCGUAGGUGGCACGUUAAGUCAGUUGUGAAAUCCCCGGGCUCAACCCGGGAACUGCUUCUGAUACUGGCGUGCUUGAGGCCAGUAGGGGUCACUAGAACUGACGGUGGAGCGGUGAAAUGCGUAGAUAUCGUCAGGAAUGCCGGUGGUGAAGACGGGUGACUGGGCUGGUUCUGACACUGAGGCACGAAAGCGUGGGGAGCGAACGGGG
rnacentral:rRNA from 1 species